GAUAUUGCACAAUGGGGGAAACCCUGAUGCAGCGACGCCGCGUGAGCGAAGAAGGCCUUCGGGUCGUAAAGCUCUGUUUCGAGGGAAGAUAACGACGGUCCCCCGGGAGGAAGCCCCGGCUAACUACGUGCCAGCGGCCGCGGUAAUACGUAGGGGGCAAGCGUUAUCCGGACUCACUGGGCGUAAAGGGUGCGUAGGCGGCCAAUAAAGUCAGAGGUGAAAGGCGACGGCUCAACCGUAGUAAGCCUUUGAAACUUAUUGGCUUGAGUGCAGGAGAGGAGAGUGGAAUUCCUAGUGUAGCGGUGAAAUGCGUAGAUAUUAGGAGGAACACCAGUGGCGAAGGCGACUCUCUGGACUGUAACUGACGCUGAGGCACGAAAGCGUGGGGAGCGAAC
rnacentral:rRNA from 1 species